UUUUCACAGCCUUGCUUUUAUCAGAAGACAACACAUUAGUUUUCAAAUCAGAAUUUGAAAGAGAAGAAAAAUUACUUUGCUGUUUUGGUGCAGAAGAAGUGUUGUUGUUUCCCUUCUUUUUGAGUUGCCGGACAACAUGAAUCGCCUUAUGCAACAUCUUUUCCAAGCUGGCAUAAGUCUGAAGCUCGUUUUGAUCAGGCACAUCACGGUUGCUUCUCUUGGCUUUGGUGAAG
rnacentral:lncRNA from 1 species